CGUAAAGCGCGCGUAGGCGGCCAAAUCAGCCGGUUGUGAAAGCCCCGGGCUCAACCUGGGAACGGCAUCCGGAACUGUUUGGCUAGAGUGCAGGAGAGGAAGGUAGAAUUCCCGGUGUAGCGGUGAAAUGCGUAGAGAUCGGGAGGAAUACCAGUGGCGAAGGCGGCCUUCUGGACUGACACUGACGCUGAGGUGCGAACGCGUGGGUAGCAAACAGGAUUAGAUACCCUGGUAGUCCACGCCGUAAACGAUGUCGACUAGCCGUUGGGGUCCUAGAGACCUUUGUGGCGAAGUUAACGCGAUAAGUCGACCGCCUGGGGAGUACGGCCGCAGGGUUAAAACUCAAAUGAAUUGACGGGGGCCCGCACAAGCGGUGGAGCAUGUGGUUUAAUUCGAUGCAACGCGAAGAACCUUACCUACCCUUGACAUCGUGCGAACCCGGAAGAGAUUCCGGGGUGCCUUCGGGAGCGCACAGACAGGUGCUGCAUGGCUGUCGUCAGCUCGUGUUGUGAAAUGUUGGGUUAAGUCCCGUAACGAGCGCAACCCUUGUCCCUAUUUGCCAGCACGUAACGGUGGGAACUCUAGGGAGACUGCCGGUGACAAACCGGAGGAAGGUGGGGACGACGUCAAGUCAUCAUGGCCCUUACGGGUAGGGCUACACACGUGCUACAAUGGCCGGUACAGAGGGACGCGAAGCCGCGAGGUGAAGCCAAUCCCGCAAAGCCGGUCUCAGUCCGGAUCGGAGUCUGCAACUCGACUCCGUGAAGUCGGAAUCGCUAGUAAUCGUGA
rnacentral:rRNA from 1 species